GAAAAAUACUAGGGUUCUUCACAACUCACUUAUUCUUGAACUCAGAAUCGAUUGUUUGACUGGUGUCGAUUGGACUGGGGUCUACGUAUUGGCUCAAGGAGUUUUGAGGAACCGGAUUUGCAGGCGAGCAGGCUACGAGUUAGGACUUCCUUCCCUUCCAGUGAUAUUGGUGAGCUCCGCUUUUGUUCGUGGAGUAUUCUUAGAGUCAUUUUCAUUUAGCUAUUUCUUUGUUUAUUUAGAGA